rnacentral:rRNA from 1 species
UACGGAGGGUGCGAGCGUUGUCCGGAAUCACUGGGCGUAAAGGGCGCGUAGGUGGCCUGUGGAAGUCUGCGGUGAAAGCCCGGCGCUCAACGCCGGGUCUGCCGUGGAUACUCUCGGGCUUGAGCUUACUAGAGGCAGAUGGAAUUCCGGGUGUAGCGGUGGAAUGCGUAGAGAUCCGGAAGAACACCGGUGGCGAAGGCGGUCUGCUGGGGUAAUGCUGACACUGAGGCGCGACAGCGUGGGGAGCAAACAGG